rnacentral:rRNA from 1 species
CCUGAGUACGACGGAGCACGUGAAAUUCCGUCGGAAUCUGGGAGGACCAUCUCCUAAGGCUAAAUACUCUCUAGUGACCGAUAGUGAACCAGUACCGGGAGGGAAAGGUGAAAAGCACCCCGGAAGGGGAGUGAAAUAGAACCUGAAACCGUGUGCUUACAAGUAGUCAGAGCCCGUUAAUGGGUGAUGGCGUGCCUUUUGUAGAAUGAACCGGCGAGUUACGAU